rnacentral:rRNA from 1 species
AGCGAACGCUGGCGGCAGGCCUAACACAUGCAAGUCGAACGAACUCUUCGGAGUUAGUGGCGGACGGGUGAGUAACACGUGGGAACGUGCCUUUAGGUUCGGAAUAACUCAGGGAAACUUGUGCUAAUACCGAAUGUGCCCUUCGGGGGAAAGAUUUAUCGCCUUUAGAGCGGCCCGCGUCUGAUUAGCUAGUUGGUGAGGUAAAGGCUCACCAAGGCGACGAUCAGUAGCUGGUCUGAGAGGAUGAUCAGCCACAUUGGGACUGAGACACGGCCCAAACUCCUACGGGAGGCAGCAGUGGGGAAUCUUGCGCAAUGGGCGAAAGACUGACGCAGCCAUGCCGCGUGAAUGAUGAAGGUCUUAGGAUUGUAAAAUUCUUUCACCGGGGACGAUAAUGACGGUACCCGGAGAAGAAGCCCCGGCUAACUUCGUG